GACGAACGCUGGCGGCGUGCUUAACACAUGCAAGUCGAACGCUGAAGCUCAGCUUUUGUUGGGUGGAUGAGUGGCGAACGGGUGAGUAACACGUGAGUAACCUGCCUCCUUCUUUGGGAUAACGCCCGGAAACGGGUGCUAAUACUGGAUAUUCACUGGUCUUCGCAUGGGGGUUGGUGGAAAGGGUUUUUCUGGUGGGGGAUGGGCUCGCGGCCUAUCAGCUUGUUGGUGGGGUGAUGGCCUACCAAGGCUUUGACGGGUAGCCGGCCUGAGAGGGUGACCGGUCACAUUGGGACUGAGAUACGGCCCAGACUCCUACGGGAGGCAGCAGUGGGGAAUAUUGCACAAUGGGCGCAAGCCUGAUGCAGCGACGCCGCGUGAGGGAUGGAGGCCUUCGGGUUGUGAACCUCUUUCGCUCAUGGUCAAGCCGCAACAAUGGUUGUGGUGAGGGUAGUGGGUAAAGAAGCGCCGGCUAACUACGU
rnacentral:rRNA from 1 species